rnacentral:rRNA from 1 species
GGCCGCGGGAAUUCGAUUCAGGCCUAACACAUGCAAGUCGAGCGGUAGAGAGAAGCUUACUUCUCUUGAGAGCGGCGGACGGGUGAGUAAUGCCCAGGAAUCUGCCUGGUAGUGGGGGAUAACGUUCGGAAACGGACGCUAAUAUCGCAUACGUCCUACGGGAGAAAGCAGGGGACCUUCGGGCCUUGCGCUAUCAGAUGAGCCUAGGUCGGAUUAGCUAGUUGGUGAGGUAAUGGCUCACCAAGGCAACGAUCCGUAACUGGUCUGAGAGGAUGAUCAGUCACACUGGAACUGAGACACGGUCCAGACUCCUACGGGAGGCAGCAGUGGGGAAUAUUGGACAAUGGGCGAAAGCCUGAUCCAGCCAUGCCGCGUGUGUGAAGAAGGUCUUCGGAUUGUAAAUCAAUAGAAGUUGGAGGAAGGGCAGUUACCUAAUACGUGAUGUUUGACGUA